rnacentral:misc_RNA from 1 species
CGCACAUUGCGCCCCGUGGUAUUCCGCGGGGCAUGCCUGUUCGAGCGUCAUUACACCACUCAAGCCUCGCUUGGUAUUGGGCGACGCGGUACGCCGCGCGCCUCAAAUCUCUCGGCUGGGUCUGAAUCGUCCCUCAGCGUUGUGGAAACUAUUCGCUAAAGGUGCGCGUUUCGGUCACGCCGUUAAACAAACCAAUUUCAUUAAAGGUUGACCUCGGAUCAGGUAGGGAUACCCGCUGAACUUAA